UCCAAUUGAAAGCCCAAGUAACUUCACAUAAACAAUCGCAGUUGAAACAGAAACCCUAAUACGUUCUCUUUGCCACCUUCCUUAAUAUAAUACCACCAUUUCAUUCUUCCUCCUCAAAAGCUUUCCAAUUUCUCAGAUGGUGUUGCCAUGAUGAUAACGAAAGUAAUGAAAAGCUUUGUACAAAUGCUUCAUGAUAAUUCGGCGUAAAAGGCCGACCUGAGCGGUUACCGGAGCAUCAUUAUUGUUUAUAUAUGAAUAAUUUGCGAAUUACAUAUUUAAGUUUUUGAUUUAUACGAGUUAAAACCUUAAUGUACACCAAAAUAUCAAUGUUUAUAGCGUUCAGGCCAAAACAUAGAAUUUCGACCACUUAACAUAAAACUCUGACCACCAAAAUGGUCGGAAUUCUGUGAUCUAGCCUGAACGCGAUAGACUUUGAGACUUGAGUGGCUGUAGUUUGCAAAAAUGCUAAACGUUGUAAUUUACAAAUUAUUCUUUAUAUAUUCUUAUAUUUAGAGAAGCAACAUAAUUCUCA